AUGUUGUCGCGGCUAUUGCUCGUCGUACGUCCGGACUCAGGGACCCUUUCGCACUUAGGCACUCCGACUUCUGUGAAUGGCUUAUUAAAUCAGUUAUAGUUUGUUUGAUGGUAUCUACUACUCGGAUAACCAUAGUAAUUCAAGAGCUAAUACGUGCAACAAACCCCGGUUUUUGGAAGGGAUGCAUUUAAUAGAUAAAAGGUCGAUGCGGGCUUUGCCCAUUGCUGCGAUGAUUUAUGAUAACUCGAUGGAUCGCACGACCAUUGUGCCGGCGACGCAUCAUUCAAAUUUCUAUCCUAUCAAGUUUCGAUGGUAGGAUAAUGGCCUACUAUGGUGGUGAUGGGUGACGGAGAAUUAGGGUUUGAUUUUGGAGACGGAGCCUGAGAAAUGGCUACCACAUCCAAGGAAGGCAGCAGGCGCGCAAAUUACCCAAUCCUGACACAAGGAGGUAGUGACAAUAAAUAACAAUACUGGGCUCAAUGAGUCUAAUAAUUGGAAUGAGUACAAUCUAAAUCCCUUAAUGAGGAACCAUUAGAGGGAGAGUCUUAUGCCAGCAGCCGCAGUAGUUCAGCACUAAUAACGUAUAUUUAAGUUGUUGUACUUAAGAAGAUCAAAUUUAGACUUUGGGAUUGGCCAGCCAGUCUGCCUAUGGUGUGCAUUGGUCGUCUCGUCCCUUCUGUCGGCAAUGCGCUCCUGGCCUUAACUGGCUGGGUCGUGCCUCCGGCGCUGUUACUUUGAAGAAAUUAAAGUUCUUAAAGCAAGCCUAUGCUCUAUAUACAUUAGCAUAGGAUAACAUUAUAAGGUUUCGGUCCUAUUACAUUGGCCUUUGGGAUCGGAGUAAUGAUUAACAGGGACAGUCGGGAGCAUUCGUAUUUCAUAGUCAGAGGUGAAAUUAUUGGAUUUAUGAAAUACGAACAACUGUGAAAGCAUUUUCCAAGGAUGUUUUCAUUAAUCAAGAUCGAAAGUUCGUGGCUCAAAGGCAGUCAGAUAUCAUCUUAGUCUUAACCAUAAACGAUGCCGACCAGGAAUCGGUGGAUGUUGGUUUAAGGACUCCGCCGGCACCUUAUGAGAAAUCAAAGUUUUUGGGUUCCAGGGGGAGUAUGGUCGCAAGGCUAAAACUUUAAGGAAUUGACGGAAGGGCACCACCAGGAGUGGAGCGUGCGGCUUAAUUUGACUCAACACGGGGAAACUUACCAGGUCCAGACAUAGUAAGGAUUGACAGACUGAUAGCUCUUUCUUGAUUAUAUGGGUGGUGGUGCAUGGCCUUUCUUAGUUGGUGGAGCAAUUUUUCUGGUUAAUUCUGUUAACGAACGAGACAUCAUCCUGCUAACUAGCUAUGCGAAGGUAUCCCUUUGCGGCCAUCUUCUUAGAGGGACUACGGCCUUUUAGGCCAUAGAAGUUUGAGGCACGAACAGUUAUGUGAUGCCUUUAGAUGUUCUGGACUGCACGCGCGCUACACUGAUGUAUUCAAUGAUUUUAUAGCCUUGGCCAACAGGCUUGGGUAAUCUUUGAAAUUUCAUCAUGAUGGGGAUAGAUAAUUAUAAUUGUUGGUCUUCAAUGAGGAAUUCCUCGUAAGCGCGAGUCAUCAGCUCGCGUUGACUGCGUCCCUGCCCCUUGUACAUACCGCCUGUCGCUCCUACUAAUUGAAUGGUACAGUGAAAUAUUUGGAUUGCGGCGAUGUGGGUGGUUCACUGCCUGCGACGUCGUGAGAAGUCGAUUGAACCUUAUCAUUUAGAGGAAGGAGAAUUCAUAACAAGGUUUUCGUAGGUGAACCUGCGGAAG
rnacentral:rRNA from 1 species